rnacentral:rRNA from 1 species
ACGGGUGAGUAAUGUCUGGGGAUCUGCCCGAUAGAGGGGGAUAACCACUGGAAACGGUGGCUAAUACCGCAUAACGUCUCAAGACCAAAGAGGGGGACCUUCGGGCCUCUCACUAUCGGAUGAACCCGGAUGGGAUUAGCUAGUAGGCGGGGUAACGGCCCACCUAGGCGACGAUCCCUAGCUGGUCUGAGAGGAUGACCAGCCACACUGGAACUGACACACGGUCCAGACUCCUACGGGAGGCAGCAGUGGGGAAUAUUGCACAAUGGGCGCAAGCCUGAUGCAGCCAUGCCGCGUGUAUGAAGAAGGCCUUCGGGUUGUAAAGUACUUUCAGCGGGGAGGAAGGCGAUGUGGUUAAUAACCGCAUUGAUUAACGUUACCCGCAAAAGAACCACCGGCUAACUCCGUGCCAGCAGCCGCGGUAAUACGGAGGGUGCAAGCGUUAAUCGGAAUUACUGGGCGUAAAGCGCACGCAGGCGGUCUGUUAAGUCAGAUGUGAAAUCCCCGGGCUUAACCUGGGAACUGCAUUUGAAACUGGCAGGCUUGAGUCUCGUAUAGGGGGGUAGAAUUCCAGGUGUA